rnacentral:rRNA from 1 species
AACGAACGCUGGCGGCAGGCUUAACACAUGCAAGUCGAACGAACGUAGCAAUACGUUAGUGGCAGACGGGUGAGUAACGCGUGGGAAUAUGCCCUAUGGUUUGGAAUAACUCAGGGAAACUUGAGCUAAUACCGGAUAAGCCCGAGAGGGGAAAGAUUUAUCGCCAUUGGAGUAGCCCGCGUCUGAUUAGCUAGUUGGUGAGGUAAUGGCUCACCAAGGCGACGAUCAGUAGCUGGUCUGAGAGGAUGAUCAGCCACACUGGGACUGAGACACGGCCCAGACUCCUACGGGAGGCAGCAGUGGGGAAUAUUGGACAGUGGGGGCAACCCUGAUCCAGCCAUGCCGCGUGAGUGAUGAAGGCCUUAGGGUUGUAAAACUCUUUUAUCCGGGAAGAUAAUGACUGUACCGGAAGAAUAAGCCCCGGCUAACUUCGUGCCAGCCGCCGCGGUAACAC